UUUCUUCACAAUUGCAUGAAUACGAACCUCCAUAUUUUAAUUCCAUGCUACCAAUUCUUGAAUUCACGGUUGAGGAGAAACUGACAAUUGAAAUAGAAGCCGAGGGAUUCAUCUGAGUUCACAAUCUGUCAAUUGAAGGGAAUUUGUUCCGUGAGACUCUAAUCUGGAAUGAGGAAAUACUCAAGUGCGACACCUUUAAGCGAACGAGGUUGAGCAUGACAGGUGCGGUGGGUGUUGAGCAAGACCGUUGAAGAAAUUUAAGUGUUUAGAAUGUGUCAUGUCUUCACACGUGGCAUAUUCCUUCUCCCGAAUGCUUCCGCUUAGUAGUUUCCUUUCUUUUGAGUUUCUGUAUUGUUGAGAUAUUCUGAUUUGUUUCGAGCUAUGGUCGAUUUGUGUUGUUUUCCCCUUUCAUCCCCGCUUCUUUAAUCCCCUUAGUCGCGAUCAACCGUGUUUUCUAUUCUUAGAAAAUGCGGACGUGACAAGAUAUGUCCUUAGAAAGUUAUGUUCUGAAUCCGUAAUGACUGAUUUUUGUGACCUA